UACGUAGGGGGCAAGCGUUGUCCGGAUUUAUUGGGCGUAAAGAGCGUGUAGGCGGUCAGGUAGGUCGGUUGUGAAAACUGGAGGCUCAACCUUCAGAGGUCGACCAAAACCCCCUGGCUAGAGUCCGGGAGAGGAGAGUGGAAUUCCUGGUGUAGCGGUGAAAUGCGCAGAUAUCAGGAGGAACACCGGUGGCGAAGGCGGGUCUCUGGGCCGUAACUGACGCUGAGGAGCGAAAGCAUGGGGAGCGAACAGG
rnacentral:rRNA from 1 species